AGGGGAACGGGGGAGGGAGAUAAGGGGGGAGGAGGAGGAGGAGGAGGAGGAGGUGGGAUCGAUGGCGUGCCCGCCGCUCUGAGAUUGGUUUCCCGAUCGCGUUCCGGCCGCAGGUCCAGCCAAUGGCUUAGAUAUCUCAAGCUGUUACUUAUGGUGGAUGAGGAAAACCAACUCCAACUCUUGAAGAAUUAAAAGUUUCUCCUGCUUCAGUUUCUACUGCCGUUGAGAAACAUCAACUCGUUGGUGGGACAAAUCAUCCUGAGUUGUUUAUAAGUCAGCUACUUUGAGAAGACAAUGUCAGCUUCAGAGUUCAGGAUUCCUUACCAGCCAGUAUCAUCUUCGCAGCCUUCGGAGAAUGCAGGUCAGUUCAAGAUAUGCCGAUGUGGGGAGGGAGACCCGAACUCCCAGACUGGUGAAGGGGAUAGUCCACCAACCGCAUGUCCUAACUGCCAGGUUCUUAAGAGUGGACAUUUACUGCUUUCAUCUAAAGGUAUGU